GUCUAUGGCCAUACCCACCCUGAACGUGCACAAUCUCAUCUGAUUUCGGAAGCUAAGCAGGGUUGGGCCUGGUUAGUACUUGAAUGGGAGAAAAGAGAGCUGAACAUA
rfam:Ictidomys tridecemlineatus contig112160, whole genome shotgun sequence.